rnacentral:rRNA from 1 species
AGUGAACGCUGGCGGUAGGCCUAACACAUGCAAGUCGAACGGCAGCACAGAGGAGCUUGCUCCUUGGGUGGCGAGUGGCGGACGGGUGAGGAAUACAUCGGAAUCUACUCUGUCGUGGGGGAUAACGUAGGGAAACUUACGCUAAUACCGCAUACGACCUACGGGUGAAAGCAGGGGACCUUCGGGCCUUGCGCGAUUGAAUGAGCCGAUGUCGGAUUAGCUAGUUGGCGGGGUAAAGGCCCACCAAGGCGACGAUCCGUAGCUGGUCUGAGAGGGUGAUGAGCCACACUGGAACGGAGACACGGUCCAGACUCCUACGGGAGGCAGCAGUGGGGAAUAUUGGACAAUGGGCGCAAGCCUGAUCCAGCCAUACCGCGUGGGUGAAGAAGGCCUUCGGGUUGUAAAGCGCUUUUGUUGGGAAAGAAAUCCAGCUGGCUAAUACCCGGUUGGGAUGACGGUACCCAAAGAAUAAGCACCGGCUAACUUCGUGCCAGCCGCCGCAGUAA